ensembl:miRNA
CUUCAGGUCCCUGUUCGGGCGCCAGUUGCCGGGGGCCAGCCUCAGCAAAGAACAGGGUCACCAGAGGAAGG